rnacentral:rRNA from 1 species
GGUGCUUGCAUCAUGAUUUACAUUUGAGUGAGUGGCGAACUGGUGAGUAACACGUGGGAAACCUGCCCAGAAGCGGGGGAUAACACCUGGAAACAGAUGCUAAUACCGCAUAACAACUUGGACCGCAGGGUCCGAGUUUGAAAGAUGGCUUCGGCUAUCACUUUUGGAUGGUCCCGCGGCGUAUUAGCUAGAUGGUGGGGUAACGGCUCACCAUGGCAAUGAUACGUAGCCGACCUGAGAGGGUAAUCGGCCACAUUGGGACUGAGACACGGCCCAAACUCCUACGGGAGGCAGCAGUAGGGAAUCUUCCACAAUGGACGAAAGUCUGAUGGAGCAACGCCGCGUGAGUGAAGAAGGGUUUCGGCUCGUAAAACUCUGUUGUUAAAGAAGAACAUAUCUGAGAGUAACUGUUCAGGUAUUGACGGUAUUUAACCAGAAAGCCACGGCUAACUACGUGCCAGCAGCCGCGGUAAUACGUAGGUGGCAAGCGUUGUCCGGAUUUAUUGGGCGUAAAGCGAGCGCAGGCGGUUUUUUAAGUCUGAUGUGAAAGCCUUCGGCUCAACCGAAGAAGUGCAUCGGAAACUGGGAGACUUGAGUGCAGAAGAGGACAGUGGAACUCCAUGUGUAGCGGUGAAAUGCGUAGAUAUAUGGAAGAACACCAGUGGCGAAGGCGGCUGUCUGGUCUGUAACUGACGCUGAGGCUCGAAAGUAUGGGUAGCAAACAGGAUUAGAUACCCUGGUAGUCCAUACCGUAAACGAUGAAUGCUAAGUGUUGGAGGGUUUCCGCCCUUCAGUGCUGCAGCUAACGCAUUAAGCAUUCCGCCUGGGGAGUACGGCCGCAAGGCUGAAACUCAAAGGAAUUGACGGGGGCCCGCACAAGCGGUGGAGCAUGUGGUUUAAUUCGAAGCUACGCGAAGAACCUUACCAGGUCUUGACAUACUAUGCAAAUCUAAGAGAUUAGACGUUCCCUUCGGGGACAUGGAUACAGGUGGUGCAU